GGCAGCCGCGGUAAUUCCAGCUCCAAUAGCGUAUAUUAAAGUUGUUGCAGUUAAAAAGCUCGUAGUUGAAUUUCGAGAUCAAAUUGUUGGUCGUGCCUCGGUACGUACUGGCAUUAUUGGUUUCUCCCUUCUGAAGAACCUUGAUGUCAUUAAUUUGGCGUCUUGGGGAAUCAGGACCGUUACUUUGAAAAAAUUAGAGUGUUUAAAGCAGGCUCACGCUUGAAUACAUUAGCAUGGAAUAAUGAAAUAGGACGUUUGAUUCUAUUUUGUUGGUUUCUAGGAUCGACGUAAUGAUUAAUAGGGAUAGUUGGGGGCAUUAGUAUUCAAUUGUCAGAGGUGAAAUUCUUGGAUUUAUUG
rnacentral:rRNA from 1 species